UUAACUCUCACAAUUUUCAUUUGCACUUCCCUUCCAUUUGCCAAUUUGGUGUGAAAUGGCCUUGAUCUUUUGUCUUAGCUAUUUAAAAAAAAUCAAAAUUAUUCAUACAAGUUUUAGUGAGUUUUAGCAUUGUAUUGAAGUUUGAUUUAAAGGCUGACAUGAUUUCUGCAUAUUUCACAAUUGAUUAAGCCACCAACCAGAGAUACAUGUAAGGGUCAGGUUUCUAAGAUUCCUUUUUGAUGUGUCUAGGCUUUUAGAUGAGGGAUAUCAUGUUCAGAUUAAAAAUGUCAUGAAAUUACUUUUAUUUUGUCAUGUUGUAUAUUGCUUUUCUCAUUAGUGUUGUCACUGGUGUUGUUUACCUUUGUUGAAUAACCAAUGACAAAGACGUGCUGCUAAAAUGUAAUAAAGAGUUUAGUUAUCGUGGUUUUGUGAUGAUAAACAGGAUCAAUAAUAACCAACCAAGUUAUCCUCAUAUUAAGCUGAAUUAUAAUUGUUAAAUAUUUUUAAAUUUGUUUUGCAAAUCUAGCAAUCUUCUAAAAUAACCUCAGUUGGACAAUCUUCUAUUCACAUCAGGAGUAUGUUGUGACACCUGAUUCCAAAAAGUAUUGAGUAAUUUCCUUAAAUAUGCUGACAACAAAUCUGCACCAAUUGAUGAAAACAUUUGGUGCAGAUGAAAGCCCAGGAAAUGAAAGGAGCAUAUUUGGGUAACUAUAACACAUUCCAUGAUCAGACCUGAAAUUGAGAUUGGCACCUACAAAAAUAUCGCCAUCUCCUUCAUCCACCACACCAGUAUGUUUGAAAAAAUUCUAUCGUCAACCACUAGCUCUUAAGAAACAUACCUCUAAGUCCACUUCCUUUCUGCCUGUAACACACAGUGUGUCUGUGACUCAGUCCUCGUGCUGUGGUUCUUGCUUGAGCGUGAUGGAAAACCAUGUGAGGAGCUCUGUUCCCCACUGCACGCUGGACGCCACUGUCCUGCUGGAUUCUGCUGACAUUAAACAAAAUCUUUAGGGUUCAGGAAGGUUGGGCAGACACAUCAGAGGCAAAUGUGUAACACCGUGGAGCAUUUCUGCUUGGCCUGUUGGGUUUGACAUGCCAAAAUAGCCCACAAGGAAUAGCAGUGCCUUUUGAAGUAGCUGAGAUGCUUCCCUGAUGUCACUGCUCUGAGUUUUAGAUCAAUGCCUGGGAGAUGAAUCAGAACAUGUGAGGAGAGUCACCGAGGGGAAAUGUGCUGGAAAGGUUGCAGGAGUGAAGCACCCAAGCCCGGAGAGAAGGUGGGGUGAGAUGUGCAAGCAGGAAAAAACAAAGGGCUGAGUCAUUGGAGGCCUAAUUGACAAUGGCACAGCUGUGACAACAAUUUGCCGGCGGCCUGACCUAUCUGAUGAAAGGGUCUCUGCUUUCCUUGGAACCUCAGAGUUGCAGUGCAUGGUAGGAAUGCACCACUCGUGUUUCCAGCUGGCUCAGCCUCAUAAAUACCUAAACUCACAAGAUGACAUUUUUAAUGCUCUACAAUUGCUGUUCUGCGUUUAUAUUUAUUGCAAUUCAACAUAUCCAUUAGUGCAUCUAUCAUUGAUAAGUUUGUCACUGCUUCAGGAAUACAGUCCAUCAUGCUGCAUCAAUUUUACUUUACAUGCUAUUAAUGUACUAUAAUGCAGCUUAUAAUAUCAUGUGGAUAUAUUUGAUUAGAGAGGUGCCAGAGUCAGUCAGACUGCCCUGAGAAUUGCAAGAGGACCCAAAACCUUUAUUUGUUUGUGGUAAAGAUGAACAGCCUUGGUGCAUAGUGAAUGUGUUAAUAUAACAGGUGUAUCUUCUUCACUUUCUUAAACAGGCACGGAAAGGAACCAAUUUAAGCAAUCUAUUUUGACUCACAACAGACUUAUAAUAUUUUGUUGACACUUGACAUGUUUAUUCUUUUAGCAAAAUCAUAAUCAUGUUUUAAUAUUUCCUGCAUGCAAUUAGCAGCUUUAUUCAAGAGACAACGAUGGCAUAUGAGUCCAGGAGAGAGGACCAACUAUGGCUUUCCAAAACGAGAUUUCUCCCAUAACAAAAGCUGACUAUGCCUAGCAGAUAUACUAGAAUAAUACGGGGUAUAUCAUUGAAUCCAACGAUGAGUUGAAUCAUGAUGCUGGAAAAGAAGGAAGCAGGAAAGCUCAGAAGCAGAAGUUUGACUGAAAGUCCUGGAAGAGAGAAUCCAGUUGGCAAGACUUAAGUGGAGAGCUGCAGUAUGGUGGUGAGAGCAAAGUUUUGACAGAAGGAGUCAAAACUCCUUCUACCUCUUAGAGGAUCUUUACAUCAGAACUUCAUGUGUUCAUCAAUUGCAACCAUGGGUUGAUUGACUGUAGGUAUGAGAGUUUGGUGAAGAUCAACAAAUGCAUCAUGUG